rnacentral:rRNA from 1 species
AACGAACGCUGGCGGCGUGCCUAAUACAUGCAAGUCGAGCGAAUCAAUAGGAGCUUGCUCCUGUUGGUUAGCGGCGGACGGGUGAGUAACACGUGGGCAACCUGCCUGUAAGACUGGGAUAACACCGGGAAACCGGUGCUAAUACCGGAUAACCCUUUUCCUCUCACGAGGAAAAGCUGAAAGUCGGUUUCGGCUGACACUUACGGAUGGGCCCGCGGCGCAUUAGCUAGUUGGUGAGGUAACGGCUCACCAAGGCGGCGAUGCGUAGCCGACCUGAGAGGUUGAUCGGCCACACUGGGACUGAGACACGGCCCAGACUCCUACGGGAGGCAGCAGUAGGGAAUCUUCCACAAUGGACGAAAGUCUGAUGGAGCAACGCCGCGUGAGCGAUGAAGGCCUUCGGGUCGUAAAGCUCUGUUGUUAGGGAAGAACAAGUACCGGAGUAACUGCCGGUGCCUUGACGGUACCUAACCAGAAAGCCACGGCUAACUACGUGCCAGCCGCCGCAGUAAGAC